rnacentral:rRNA from 1 species
AUAUGGUCAAGCAAGUAAGGGUUUACGGUGGAUGCCCUGGCAUCGACUGGCGAUGAAGGACGUGGGUUGCUGCGAUAAGCAUCGGGGAGUCGUAACCAGACUUUGAUCCGAUGAUUUCCGAAUGGGGAAACCCGGCGGUCAGAAAGGCCGUCACCCGAAAGGGAGCUAACCCGGGGAAUUGAAACAUCUUAUUACCCGGUGGAAAAGAAAGAAGAUCGAUUCCGUCAGUAGCGGCGAGCGAAAGCGGAACAGCCCAAACCCGUGUCUACGUGAUAGCUUCAGGGCGUUGUAGCGUGGGUGUUGUAGGAGCCGAUUGGGAUCGCCUGAAUGAUCCCGGAGAGUUACAAAGUCUGCAUCUAGCAGAAGGCGUCUGGAAAGUCCCGCCAAAGAGGGUGAAAGCCCCGUAAGCGAAAGAUGACAGACCUCUCUUCGGAUUUCCUGAGUACGAUCCGGCACGUGAAACCGGGUCGGAACCCGCGGGGACCACCCCGUAAGGCUAAAUACACGUCGAUGACCGAUAGUGAACGAGUACCGUGAGGGAAAGGUGAAAAGAACCCCGGAAGGGGAGUGAAAUAGAGCCUGAAACCGUAAACUUACAAGGUGUGGUAGCUCCAUUUGUGAGUGACUGCAUGCCUUUUGCAUAAUGAGCCGGCGAGUUACUUUGUGUUGCAAGGUUAAAUCAGUGAAUGAUGGAGCCGUAGCGAAAGCGAGUCCGAAAUGGGCGUUGAGUAGCACUGAGUAGACCCGAAGCCGAGUGAUCUAUCCAUGGGCAGGGUGAAAGUCGAGUAAAAUCGAUUGGAGGCCCGAACCGUUGACUGUUGAAAAAGUUUCGGAUGACCUGUGGAUAGGGGUGAAAGGCCAAUCAAACUCGGCAAUAGCUGGUUCUCCCCGAAAUAGCUUUAGGGCUAGCGUCAUGCGUUCAGUCGGAGGGGUAGAGCACUGAUAGGAUUAGGGGGCCCACCAGCCUACCAAACCCUGUCAAACUCCGAAUACUCCGACUCCAGAGCAUGGCAGUCAGACUGCGAGGGAUAAGCUUCGUAGUCGAAAGGGAAACAGCCCAGACCAUCGUCUAAGGCCCCAAAGUUGACGCUAAGUGUUAAAGGAGGUGGGGGCGCCCAGACAACCAGGAUGUUGGCUUAGAAGCAGCCACCAUUAAAAGAGUGCGUAAUAGCUCACUGGUCGAGCGCCCCUGCGCCGAAAAUGUAUGGGACUAAGCGUCGCGCCGAAGACAUGGGCUCCGCAAGGAGCGGUAGGGGAGCGUUGUGUUCAGCGUUGAAGAUAGACCGUAAGGACUAUUGGAGCGUACACAAGUGAGAAUGCCGGCAUGAGUAGCGUUAAAGGGGGUGAGAUUCCCCCUCGCCGAUAGCCCAAGGGUUCCCCGGCAAGGCCACUCCGCCGGGGGUUAGUCGGUCCCUAAGGUCAAGCCGAAAGGCGUAGCCGAUGGAAAGCGGGUUCAUAUUCCUGCACCACCAUGGGUCCGUUUGAGUGAUGGAGUGACGUGGAAGGGUAAGUGAUCAGGGAGUUGGUUCCUUCGGGUGCCCUGUCUCUGGCCGUAGGCGUUGAGGCGACAUUGGAAAAUCCGGUCGCUGAGCUGAGGGUUGGAGCGAAUGAUCCUACGGGUGAUUGAAGUUACUGACCCCAUGCCACCAAGAAAAACUUCUAAACGAGGACACGUGGUGACCGUACCCUAAACGGACACACGUGGGCAAGGAGAGUAUCCUGAGGCGCUUGAGAUAACUCUUGCUAAGGAACUCGGCAAGUUAGCCCCGUAACUUCGGGAGAAGGGGCGCCCCUCCGGGUGAAGGUCCUGCGACCGGAGCCUGGAAGGGCCGCAGUGAAAAGGGGGUAGCGACUGUUUACCAAAAACACAGGUCUCUGCUAAGUCGUAAGACGACGUAUAGGGACUGACACCUGCCCGGUGCCGGAAGGUUAAGAGGAGAUGUUAGCUUUCGGGCGAAGCAUUGAAUUGAAGCCCCGGUAAACGGCGGCCGUAACUAUGACGGUCCUAAGGUUAAUGUUGCGCUUGGAACGCUAGCCUUAGUAAAAUCUGGCUGUAUGCUGGAAACUCUGAGUAUCCUGCGCUACCAGGCGUCGGCCUUCAAUGGCAAUGACGUCGGGUGACAAUGCGACAGGUGCAGACAAUCAGCAGGAAACCGAAGGCAUGAACCUUCGGGAUCCUCAGAGACUAUACGCCAGACACGUGAUGCGACUUUCUGGUAGCACGUGAAGAUAGAGUCCGUACCUUGCGGCGACGCAAGGAGGUCGACAGAAAUGAUCGGCCCGCGAACCGAAGCGAAGCAAGCGGGGUUUCCCUGCGUUGCGGAGCGAGGCUCGUAGUAACAAACAGAGCGAAAUUCCUUGUCGGGUAAGUUCCGACCCGCACGAAUGGUGUAACGACUUCCCCACUGUCUCAGCAAGAGACUCAGCGAAAUUGUAGUCCCUGUGAAGAUGCAGGGUACCUGCAGCUGGACGGAAAGACCCCGUGAACCUUUACUGUAACCUGGCACUGAACUUUGGUUCAGCAUGUGUAGGAUAGGUGGGAGACUUUGAAACCGGGACGCCAGUCCUGGUGGAGUCAACCUUGAAAUACCACCCUUGUUGGACCGGAGUUCUAACCGUAAGCAAGAACUUACGAGACAAUGUCAGGCGGGCAGUUUGACUGGGGCGGUCGCCUCCUAAAGAGUAACGGAGGCGCCCAAAGGUUCCCUCAGCGCGGCCGGAAAUCGCGCGUAGAGUGUAAAGGCACAAGGGAGCUUAACUGCGAGACCCACAAGUCGAGCAGGUACGAAAGUAGGGCUUAGUGAUCCGGUGGUUCUGUGUGGAAGGGCCAUCGCUCAACGGAUAAAAGGUACUCCGGGGAUAACAGGCUUAUCGCGCCCAAGAGUUCAUAUCGACGGCGCGGUUUGGCACCUCGAUGUCGGCUCGUCGCAUCCUGGGGCUGGAGCAGGUCCCAAGGGUUUGGCUGUUCGCCAAUUAAAGCGGUACGCGAGCUGGGUUCAGAACGUCGUGAGACAGUUCGGUCCCUAUCCGCUGCAGGCGUUGGAGAUUUGAGAGAUGCUGUCCCUAGUACGAGAGGACCGGGAUGGACGAACCUCUAGUGCACCAGUUGUCGUGCCAACGGCAUCGCUGGGUAGCUAUGUUCGGACGGGAUAACCGCUGAAAGCAUCUAAGCGGGAAGCCCAUCUCGAGAUUAGAUCUCCCUGGACUUCGGUCCCUGAAGACACCUGGAAGACUACCAGGUUGAUAGGCCGCAGGUGUAAGCGCAGUAAUGCGUUCAGCCGAGCGGUACUAAUCUGUCGUGAGGCUUGACCAUAUUACUUU